UUGUUUUUUAUUUUAGAAUAUGUCUAAACUUAUUUGCACUGACAUAAAGAGGAGUUUUUCUGACCGUUACAAUGCUUUACUCUGUUGGGAAACCUCAGGUCUGUCCUUGGUAAUAUGCUAACACACACACACACAUAAUUAUUGCAAACAGUCACAACAGCACUCCCUGAUGGCCGGAGCCUCCGCCCUCCUCCAGAAGGGCAAUUCACUCCCCCACACAGUGCCCAAACCAUUAACCCAGCCUCACUUCAAAACAUGAUAUGCCAGAACAAGCCUGAUCCACAGAGGCUGACACCCCAAAACCCAGGCAGGACCCAAGUGAUAAACUUCCAGCUUACUGGUGCCAGAAACCACAGGACAUCCUCAGUCGUCCCUGUCCAUACUCCAGUGGAUCAAAGCUGUUUUCCUGGCAUGUGGAAGCGCUCCUGAUAGUUGCCUCGGGGAGCGAAUAAGUGCCAGGCGGUACCAGUCCACUGUCGGCUGCUCUCGCCAAGGCCUGACAAACAGGGGUUCGGGCUGGCAAGAUGCCCCCUGCCCCCUCUUGCAGCACUCAGGCCACAGGCAGCUGACAGAAGAAGCAGCCAAAAGAUCAACAGUUGCUGUGACUUUGGUUGAGCGACUGGCCAGGCUGCUGCACGCCACCCAGCACACACUCAGGGCACCUGACCCUGAGUAAACUGACAAAUGCCAAACAUUUGGGUGUGCCUGCAGAGUGAUGUGACCCUGAGGGUUCGAUGACCUUACUGCACCAGGUACCGAGACACAUACAAAACUACAGGGAUGGAUUCCAGUGACCUUCCCUAUUGACGUCCCUAAUUCCCUCCAAAAUGCCCAGCUGUUGCCACAGCAGACAGCUGCUUUGGGGGCAGAAGGAAUCUCAGCUGUUGACGGGAGCUGUGCAAAAAGGUUGGUGGAUUUUCGGGUUUGUAUUCCCCCCAAAUCCACUUACUGCCCUGCAUGAAGCUGGGUGGAAAAAUGCUGACAGACAGCAAACUGAGGGACGGAAAGCAGAGGCUACAGCUGUCCGUGUGUUUACAACCAAACUACUCUGUUUCUACCCCCAGCUCAAAAACGACUGACUUUUGAGUUGGGGGUCAAAUUAAGAGACAUCCCCAAAUAAUCUGUGGGAUAUAAUUUGGCUUGAUGGGAAAUUCA